GCGUCGAGCGGCGGACGGGUGAGUAAUGCCUAGGAAAUUGCCCUGAUGUGGGGGAUAACCAUUGGAAACGAUGGCUAAUACCGCAUGAUGCCUACGGGCCAAAGAGGGGGACCUUCGGGCCUCUCGCGUCAGGAUAUGCCUAGGUGGGAUUAGCUAGUUGGUGAGGUAAGGGCUCACCAAGGCGACGAUCCCUAGCUGGUCUGAGAGGAUGAUCAGCCACACUGGAACUGAGACACGGUCCAGACUCCUACGGGAGGCAGCAGUGGGGAAUAUUGCACAAUGGGCGCAAGCCUGAUGCAGCCAUGCCGCGUGUGUGAAGAAGGCCUUCGGGUUGUAAAGCACUUUCAGUCGUGAGGAAGGUAGUGUAGUUAAUAGCUGCAUUAUUUGACGUUAGCGACAGAAGAAGCACCGGCUAACUCCGUGCCAGCAGCCGCGGUAAUACGGAGGGUGCGAGCGUUAAUCGGAAUUACUGGGCGUAAAGCGCAUGCAGGUGGUUUGUUAAGUCAGAUGUGAAAGCCCGGGGCUCAACCUCGGAAUAGCAUUUGAAACUGGCAGACUAGAGUACUGUAGAGGGGGGUAGAAUUUCAGGUGUAGCGGUGAAAUGCGUAGAGAUCUGAAGGAAUACCGGUGGCGAAGGCGGCCCCCUGGACAGAUACUGACACUCAGAUGCGAAAGCGUGGGGAGCAAACAGGAUUAGAUACCCUGGUAGUCCACGCCGUAAACGAUGUCUACUUGGAGGUUGUGGCCUUGAGCCGUGGCUUUCGGAGCUAACGCGUUAAGUAGACCGCCUGGGGAGUACGGUCGCAAGAUUAAAACUCAAAUGAAUUGACGGGGGCCCGCACAAGCGGUGGAGCAUGUGGUUUAAUUCGAUGCAACGCGAAGAACCUUACCUACUCUUGACAUCCAGAGAACUUUCCAGAGAUGGAUUGGUGCCUUCGGGAACUCUGAGACAGGUGCUGCAUGGCUGUCGUCAGCUCGUGUUGUGAAAUGUUGGGUUAAGUCCCGCAACGAGCGCAACCC
rnacentral:rRNA from 1 species